rnacentral:rRNA from 1 species
UACGUAGGGUGCAAGCGUUGUCCGGAAUUAUUGGGCGUAAAGAGCUCGUAGGCGGUCUGUCGCGUCUGCUGUGAAAACUCGGGGCUUAACCCCGGGCCUGCAGUGGGUACGGGCAGACUAGAGUGCGGUAGGGGAGACUGGAAUUCUUGGUGUAGCGGUGAAAUGCGCAGAUAUCAGGAGGAACACCGGUGGCGAAGGCGGGUCUCUGGGCCGUAACUGACGCUGAGGAGCGAAAGCGUGGGGAGCGAACAGG